rnacentral:rRNA from 1 species
GACGAACGCUGGCGGCGUGCCUAAUACAUGCAAGUAGAACGCUGAAGAGAGGAGCUUGCUCUUCUUGGAUGAGUUGCGAACGGGUGAGUAACGCGUAGGUAACCUGCCUGGUAGCGGGGGAUAACUAUUGGAAACGAUAGCUAAUACCGCAUGAAAUGGAUUAUCGCAUGAUAAUUCAUUGAAAGGUGCAAAUGCAUCACUACCAGAUGGACCUGCGUUGUAUUAGCUAGUUGGUGGGGUAACGGCUCACCAAGGCGACGAUACAUAGCCGACCUGAGAGGGUGAUCGGCCACACUGGGACUGAGACACGGCCCAGACUCCUACGGGAGGCAGCAGUAGGGAAUCUUCGGCAAUGGACGGAAGUCUGACCGAGCAACGCCGCGUGAGUGAAGAAGGUUUUCGGAUCGUAAAGCUCUGUUGUAAGAGAAGAACGAGUGUGAGAGNGGAAAGUUCACACNGNGACGG